CUAAAUUACAAAGGCGUAAAAACUACCCUGUCUUGUUUCAUUGCAAAAUUCGGAUGAUUGAACCUUCACAGCAUAUUCUGCAAUGAAUUCUGGGGAAGUCUUUCCAAUUAAACAAUGUCUUGGUAUUGCAAUGUGAAACAUUUUUGUAACAUGCAUGUUUUGUUUCCCAUCAGUAUUUGAUAUGCUAUCACAUUGAUACAUUUCUUGGAGACUCAAUUAAAGGAACCGUACAGCAAAAGUACACAUUGCUUUGUUAGAAUAUUUUACAUAGAUGAGUUAUCCUUCAUCUAAACACUUCAUUUUCGCCAUUAUUCUCCCAGAAGGUUGAAAAUCUUCAGUAGACUAGCAGUUAACACAGGCAGCCAAGAUACCCAAGAGCUGUACCUCUGAUUUAACCAUGUAACAACAUCAUACAGUGGUUUAACAACUCUGAAAGACAAACUAAAAAAAUAAUGUAGGCAGAUUGCUAAAGGGGUAGAGUUGGGAAGGUGGUAACACUCAAAGAGGCAUGGUUCACAAAACGUGGAUUCCACCUCAGCCAAUAUUACUCAGGUUCCCCAACGCUCUUAUUCUCAAUAUUAUUUACCUACAAUAAAUCACAAUUCCCUGUCGUCCUAUUCAAACCCUCUCCAUGGUUAUGUCAUAUCCAAUCUGAAUCUGUCAGUUUUUUCUCCUCAUCACCUCCUUUCCUGAUUUUUGUAUCCAUUUCCUUAUCAUUCCUUUUCAAAACCAUUUCACUCUGCUCCAGUCUUACAAGAGAUCCCUAUUUGAUCAUUCCUCUUCUAAGCUGAUCUCUCCUGAAAAAGCCUUCUCUGUCUCCCCAUGCCACCAAGAUUAAAAUAUCUACUGACUAGGGACCAGGCUGACUAGGGAACAUGUUACAAUAAAAGGCAGACAUUUUAUUCGAUAUUCUCUCAAUUAG